rnacentral:rRNA from 1 species
AUUGAACGCUGGCGGCAGGCCUAACACAUGCAAGUCGAGCGGAUGAGUGGAGCUUGCUCCAUGAUUCAGCGGCGGACGGGUGAGUAAUGCCUAGGAAUCUGCCUGGUAGUGGGGGACAACGUUUCGAAAGGAACGCUAAUACCGCAUACGUCCUACGGGAGAAAGUGGGGGAUCUUCGGACCUCACGCUAUCAGAUGAGCCUAGGUCGGAUUAGCUAGUUGGUGAGGUAAAGGCUCACCAAGGCGACGAUCCGUAACUGGUCUGAGAGGAUGAUCAGUCACACUGGAACUGAGACACGGUCCAGACUCCUACGGGAGGCAGCAGUGGGGAAUAUUGGACAAUGGGCGAAAGCCUGAUCCAGCCAUGCCGCGUGUGUGAAGAAGGUCUUCGGAUUGUAAAGCACUUUAAGUUGGGAGGAAGGGCAGUAAG